AGCGAACGCUGGCGGCAGGCUUAACACAUGCAAGUCGAGCGGGCACUUCGGUGUCAGCGGCAGACGGGUGAGUAACACGUGGGAACGUACCCUUCGGUUCGGAAUAACGCUGGGAAACUAGCGCUAAUACCGGAUACGCCCUUUUGGGGAAAGGUUUACUGCCGAAGGAUCGGCCCGCGUCUGAUUAGCUAGUUGGUGGGGUAAUGGCCUGCCAAGGCGACGAUCAGUAGCUGGUCUGAGAGGAUGAUCAGCCACACUGGGACUGAGACACGGCCCAGACUCCUACGGGAGGCAGCAGUGGGGAAUAUUGGACAAUGGGCGCAAGCCUGAUCCAGCCAUGCCGCGUGAGUGAUGAAGGCCUUAGGGUUGUAAAGCUCUUUUGUCCGGGACGAUAAUGACGGUACCGGAAGAAUAAGCCCCGGCUAACUUCGUG
rnacentral:rRNA from 1 species